UCAGAGAGCUGGUGUAAGACAUCAGCCACGUCUCGUGACUCUCCCAUAGCUCUUUCUGCCACCCAUUUUGUAUGCCUUCCUGACACUCAUGAGACAUUUUUCCAACACCCCAGCAUGGAAUUUUUCCUGUGGUCCAGAAUCAAAUCUGCAGCAUAUGGUUUCUGGGAUCCACUACAUAAAGAGAAUAUUCAGGAGGAACCCCCAGAAUGCCCUGGAAGAGGAUCUGAGAUCAUUAAUAAUUGACUGGUUAAGGGUGGACUUCGGUGGCUUGCUCGCUCAGGUUCUCUGUAGCCCAUGUAUGUCUUAGGACUCUCAUCACACUCCUAGGAGGGGGCUCAGAUCUUCUGUCACCUCCUGAACCCCAUGAGGAUCUCACUAACUCACCCUGUAGAUCAUAUAGACCUUGAACAUGCAACCAUAUUGCCUCCUCCUCCCAAACCAUCUGGCCCACUGAUGCAAUAAAGUUUAAGCACCUGGUCCACAUCUGAUGGUUUGAGAAGUGGUGGGGAAAUACAAAGAAGAGUGGACCAAGCAGUGAGAGAGGGCCUCAGGACCAGAAUCAUCAAGAAUACACAAGUCCACAACAGAGCCUGGUCUUCAAGCCCGGUGAGGCUCCAGAUCCAAAUUCUACUACUUCUCUAGAGACUCAGGAAAUGGCCAUAGGUUCACAAUUUCCCACAAAAUGUUCUUCCCUUCCCCAGAAGAGUUACUUACCAUGGAGGCAAAGAUAGGCAGGAACAGGGUGGUAGUGGCCACGUUACUUGUGCACUCUGUGGUCAUUGCAACAAGACAGGACAAGAUCAAGGUAAUGACAGCAGGUUUCACUAAUCUCAAGGGUUCCAUCUGUGCUGCCAUCCACUUCGAGAGCCCUGACGUCUAGGAAGCACAGAGACCAUCAUUUCAGGGCCCCUGGCUUACAGUUCCCCCAGGGUCCAGGGAUCUCAGUCCACUCCACUUCCAAUUCUCUUUCUUGAACAUAGGUAAUAAUCUAACCUAUCCCUACAAUUUUCCUUCUUCCCCUCCCGCCCCCUACCUGCCCCUCUUCCUCUUUCUCUUCCUCCUUAAUCUUUUGACUCCUGCAAUGUUGCUUGUGGCAUAGCUGAUCUAUUAACUAGAUUCAAACAUCAGAAGUCAUCUGGAAGUGUCUGUCUAAAUGUCCCCAUCAGGUUCAACGUGCCUGUGCUGGCUGGUUUUGCACAUCAACUUGACACAAGCUGGAGUUAUCACAGAG